AUUUUUCAGUUAAAAUAAGACAAUUGGGGCCGAAUUCCACCUAGUGGCCGAACCCCACUGUUUAUACCAUAUUUAGGGCCUCGUAUUUAGAUCUCGUACAAAUACUCAGAGGACUUAAAUGUAAUUAUGGGAUAAAGGAAGGGGCAAAUAUGUAAUAAGUGAGGAGGAGCCCCUUAUUCUAUAAAAGGGGACUCCUCCCCUCAUUCUAGGAGAGGCCUCACUCUCAUCCUCAGAGGCCAAUUCCUAGGUCUCUCCUCAUCCCUCUCAAAGCUUCCUCACACCCCUAAGCUCUAAGCUCUCUCUCUCCUUCUUCAACAGAGAAAUACAAUACAAUCAGUGUGGACGUAGCCCAAACCUUGGGGUGAACCACGAUACAUCUUGUGUCAUUUACAUUACUUGCAGAUUCACGGUCGGAUUUACGUUGUACCAAGACCAUCCGGUUUUGUGCAUCAACAUUUGGCGCCGUCUGUGGGAAACGAUACGAAAAGUUAUGUCGGUUCUUUUUCAUUUUUUCAUAAAAUUUCACCACUGUGAAUCUGCAAAAUCUGCAAAAACCUAUAAACAGAAAAGAUCCAAAUUCCAACACCUGUGCUCUUCCAUCCCUCUCUGUUCUUGUAAAAACAACAUCCAAAUUACAAAAAAAAACAACAUCCAAAAGCUCCUGGAAAAACACCUCCACUUCUCCUUUAACCUUCACACGUGUCCAAAAUCUCCUGGAGAAAGAUUAGGGGAAGCAGCAGGCUCUUUCCGAGCU
rnacentral:lncRNA from 1 species